rnacentral:rRNA from 1 species
UAGCCUCCACUCAUGUGAGACUACCCCCUGAAUUUAAGCAUAUUAAUAAGGGGAGGAAAAGAAACUAAAUAGGAUUCUCUUAUUAGCGGCGAGCGAAAAAGGAAAAGACCACCACGUAGAAUCGACGA